rnacentral:rRNA from 1 species
UACGAAGGGGGCUAGCGUUGCUCGGAAUCACUGGGCGUAAAGCGCACGUAGGCGGAUCGCUAAGUCAGGGGUGAAAUCCUGGAGCUCAACUCCAGAACUGCCUUUGAUACUGGCAAUCUCGAGUCCGGGAGAGGUGAGUGGAACUGCGAGUGUAGAGGUGAAAUUCGUAGAUAUUCGGAAGAACACCAGUGGCGAAGGCGGCUCACUGGUCCGGUACUGACGCUGAUGUGCGAAAGCGUGGGGAGCAAACAGG